rnacentral:misc_RNA from 1 species
UGUGCAUCACUUUAAGUCUAAGCUUAUGAAUUAUAUCUAAUCUUAUGUAGGAAUAGCUUUGCCGCUUUUGUCACCAUUCUUGCCGCUUUUCUUGAGUUUUUUGAAAUGUCUACUAUUUUAAACUAUGGGGCUACUUUUCUAGAUGGAAGGUAUGGCUAAAGAGGAUGUGAAAGUGAAUAUAUUCAUGACAUGUGCUUUUAAUUUAGCUAAGCGUUUCUAUUAAUAUAGUAGGUGA